AACGUAGGAGACAAACGUUAUCCGGAGUUACUGGGCGUAAAGGGCGUGUAGGUGGUAAUGUAAGUCUGGCGUGAAAUUUUUCGGCUUAACCGGGAAAGGUCGUCGGAUACUGCGGAACUAGAGGACGGUAGAGGCGUGUGGAAUUCCGGGUGUAGUGGUGAAAUGCGUAGAGAUCCGGAGGAACACCAGUGGCGAAGGCGACACGCUGGGCCGUACCUGACACUGAUGCGCGACAGCAUGGGGGAGCAAACAGG
rnacentral:rRNA from 1 species